CCUACGGGUGGCAGCAGUAGGGAAUAUUGCUCAAUGGGGGAAACCCUGAAGCAGCAACGCCGCGUGGAGGAUGAAGGUUUUCGGAGUGUAAACUCCUUUUGUUAGAGAAGAUAAUGACGGUAUCUAACGAAUAAGCACCGGCUAACUCCGUGCCAGCAGCCGCGGUAAUACGGAGGGUGCAAGCGUUAUUCGGAAUCACUGGGCGUAAAGAGGGCGUAGGCGGGAUAGCAAGUCAGAUGUGAAAUCCUAUGGCUUAACCAUAGAACUGCAUUUGAAACUGUUAUUCUAGAGUAUGGGAGAGGUAGGUGGAAUUCUUGGUGUAGGGGUAAAAUCCGUAGAGAUCAAGAAGAAUACUGAUUGCGAAGGCGACCUGCUAGAACGUAACUGACGCUGAUGCGCGAAAGCGUGGGGAGCAAACAGGAUUAGAUACCCGAGUAGUC
rnacentral:rRNA from 1 species